rnacentral:rRNA from 3 species
AGUGGCGCACGGGUGCGUAACGCGUAUGCAACCUACCUUAUACUAAGGGAUAGCCCGGGGAAACCCGGAUUAAUACCUUAUGGUAUUAUUUGAUGGCAUCAUUGAAUAAUUAAAGAUUUAUUGGUAUAAGAUGGGCAUGCGUAGGAUUAGCUAGUUGGUAAGGUAACGGCUUACCAAGGCGACGAUCCUUAGGGGUUCUGAGAGGAAGGUCCCCCACACUGGUACUGAGAUACGGACCAGACUCCUACGGGAGGCAGCAGUAGGGAAUAUUGGGCAAUGGACGGAAGUCUGACCCAGCCAUGCCGCGUGCAGGAAGAAGGCGUUAUGCGUUGUAAACUGCUUUUAUACGGGAAGAAAAGGCCCAUGCGUGGGACAUUGCCGGUACCGUAUGAAUAAGCACCGGCUAACUCCGUGCCAGCAGCCGCGGUAAUACGGAGGGUGCAAGCGUUGUCCGGAUUUAUUGGGUUUAAAGGGUGCGUAGGCGGCGAUUUAAGUCAGUGGUGAAAGUUUUGGGCUCAACUCAGAAAUUGCCAUUGAUACUG